rnacentral:snoRNA from 1 species
GCCCUCCUGAUGCCAACCACAGGUUGUGUUCUUACACUGACCAUGUACAAAAAAGAGACAAAGUAAACCUACCCCAUAUAUACCCCAGCUCAAGCCCUGGUCCUGGUCUGCAUUGUGAACAGAGACACAUGG